UGAUAGAGCAUAUAUUUAUAUAUGCUUUUAUAUGAUUUUAUUCCCAUAAUUGUAGUAUUUUGUAAAUAAUCGGGUUAUUACUAAUUGAUUUUAAGUGUUUAAUGGCAGGAAAAUAAAUAUUCCUAAGUUGGAUGAAACUAGCUUAUUUGGGCUUGUAUUUGAUGGAAAUUCGGACUUUAUGGGCCACCUGCGCAGCAAAUCUUGUUUGGGCCAUAACUUGAGUUCCGGACGUCAGAAUUAGACGAUUCAACAGCCCACGCGAAGAUAUCUUAAUUGUCUACAAGUUUAAAGUGGUCCAGCUAUCUAAAGACAAAAGGAUCAGCCCAGAAUCAGGCCUGAAAGUCAGCCCACGAAUUUUGUCUCAGAAUCCAACUUGUUUUAGGAAAUCGGAAUUGUUUUUCGAGGAAACCAUUAAAAACAUUAUUAUUAUUAGGGUUUGAUGAUUAUUAGAUAUCGAAUAUUGUGUAUUGAGAGAGGGAGGUAGAGAAAGCUUUGGGAGAUAACUUGAGCAAAGAUUGAAGGGAUUCAGUCCAAGUUCGAGAGAUUUCGUCAAGUUGUAUUUUCUUCACUCUUGUACUCUUUUGACAUGAUGUCAGUAAUAUAUAUAUAUAUUCGUGUUUUCUUUAAUUGUUAUGGGUAACUAAUCCUCUAAUCCGAGGAUUGGGGAGUAUUUGUU
rnacentral:lncRNA from 1 species